rnacentral:rRNA from 1 species
GAUGAACGCUGGCGGCGUGCCUAACACAUGCAAGUCGAACGGAGUUAUAUGAAGCCUUCGGGCGGAUUAUAACUUAGUGGCGGACGGGUGAGUAACGCGUGGGUAACCUGCCUCAUACAGGGGGGAUAACAGUUGGAAACGGCUGCUAAAACCGCAUAACAUUGCGUUGUCGCAUGGCGAUGCAAUUUAAAUAUUUUAUAGGUAUGAGAUGGGGCCCGCGUCUGAUUAGCUAGUUGGUGAGGUAAUGGCUCACCAAGGCGACGAUCAGUAGCCGGCUUGAGAGAGCGAUCGGCCACAUUGGGACUGAGACACGGCCCAAACUCCUACGGGAGCAG